CAGGAUGAACGCUGGCGGCAUGCCUAACACAUGCAAGUCGAACGGAGCUAUUAUGGAAGCUUGCUUUGUUUAGCUUAGUGGCGGACGGGUGAGUAACGCGUGAGAAACCUGCCCUUGAGUGGGGAAUAACACCGAGAAAUCGGUGCUAAUACCGCAUAAUGUCGGAAAUUCGCAUGUUUUUCCGACCAAAGGAUUUAUUCGCUUAAGGAUGGUCUCGCGUCCGAUUAGUUAGUUGGUGAGGUAACGGCCCACCAAGACCACGAUCGGUAGCCGAACUGAGAGGUUGAUCGGCCACAUUGGGACUGAGACACGGCCCAGACUCCUACGGGAGGCAGCAGUGGGGAAUAUUGGGCAAUGGGGGAAACCCUGACCCAGCAAUGCCGCGUGAAGGAUGAAGGUCUUCGGAUUGUAAACUUCUUUGAUUGGGGAAGAAUAAAUGACCUACCCAAAGAACAAGUCACGGCUAACUACGUGCCAGCCGCCGC
rnacentral:rRNA from 1 species